GACGAACCGUGCGACCGUUGUUCGGAAUCACUGGGCUUAAAGGGCGCGUAGGCGGGUGGGUAAGUCCGGGGUGAAAGCCUGCAGCUCAACUGCAGAAGUGCCUCGGAUACUGCCGACCUCGAGGGAGGUAGGGGCAUGUGGAACUUCCGGUGGAGCGGUGAAAUGCGUAGAUAUCGAGAGGAACACCAGUGGCGAAGGCGAGUCCCUGGACAACUUCUGACGCUGAGGCACGAAAGCUAGGGGAGCAAACAGG
rnacentral:rRNA from 1 species